AGGGCUGCAUCAGCAGCACAUGAAAGUUCCCAGGCUAAGGGUCGAAUCGGAGUUGUAGCCACUGGCCUACACCACAGCCACAGCAACACAAGAUCCAAGCUGCAUCUGUGGCCUAUCCCACGGCUCAUGGCAAUGUUGGAUCCUUAACCCACUGAGCAAGGCCAGGGAUCAAUCCCACAUCCUUGUGGAUACUAGUCAGGUUCCUAGCCCACUGAGCCACAACAGAAACUCCUGCCCUGGCCAGUGUUGACUGCACCACAUCAGAUCAAGAGCUUUCUGAGGUCUUGGACAGGACUGACAGACAGAAGGGUCAAGCUGGUGGCCAGAACGGCUCCAGGUGCAACAUGCAUGCUUAAUACCCAUCCACACGGCACCACAGGGAAUGGGAUUGAGCAGCAUUUUGGCGACGUCACCUUUCCCAGCAGAGAAUUCCGUGGGCUUUAUUUCGAUCCCCAACACGAAGGCUAUGAAAGGCUAUGGAACUCUGGCUUAGGAGCUCUACGGACAAAGCAGAUGCCACCCGGGGUUUCCAGGGAGCGGAAUUCGCUCAUCCUGAUUCCUGUGGUUACGCUUGCAGAACGAAAGGAUUCCUCCAUAGCCAUGUCAUUUCAACAGCACGGUGGCGAGGAGCAGCGAGGGACCUUCUCCAGCGUCCUAUUUAUGAAAACAAUAGCUCAAGUUCACGGUAUUAACCGUCACCACAGGCACUGCCCUUCUCCCGACUCGCCCUCUCCCCACGCAUAUAAAUAGGCGCGCACACAUAAAUACGUACAAACACACACACACUCAAAAUACACAUACACCCAAACACAAACUCACAGAAAUGCACACACACACACACACACACACACACACAUGCAGAAACAGAUUCAGACACGUACACACGUCUUGAUGAAAAUGGAGAAUUUCAGUUUGGAGGAAAAAAGCAGAGCAAGCAGAUUUCCUGCUCCUUAGGAAGACAGUGUGGACAGAACCUCUUCCCGGCAUUGGGAUAAAGGUUCUCCAUCCUAUUCUGGUGCCUUCCAGCUCUUUUUGGACUCUGUAGGAUAAAGGACAGAGGCGGGCACUGCUGGGCCCCAUCUGGCUCUGUGUUCCCUGACUGCCGAGGUCGUGGGCUCUUGGCAGAGGUGAGCUGAGGGUGCUGGCUGCUGAAAAAUUUAAAGCAAACUCUUGCUGCCAUGCUGGCAAUCAGAAGAUGACUAUCAGGCGUCAGUGCUUCUGCCGAACUGGUGGAAACCCACCUGCCUGUGAGGCUGACGGCGGAACCACGGAUGGUCCGUUUUAUGAGCUUCAAACCUAAAAACGUCCUUGGGUUCUACUCACCAAUAUGCCUUCCGGCUUCCUUGGUCUUCCUGGCCAGGAUGGGAAACGCAUCGUACCACUCAGGGUCCAGUGCAAGGAACGGAGACUGCUCCAGGUAUUUUAAGCAGAAAGGGAUUUAAUACAGGGAAGCUGGUACUUACAGAAUCACUGGAAGGGGCAGUUGUUCCCUGAAGCCACUGUAACAAAAUGACCACGAACUGGCUGGCUUACCACAACAGGAGUGAAUCCUCUCACUGUUCUGGAAGCCAGAAGUCUGAAGUCAAGGUCGGGCCACGCUCCCUCAGGAGAAUCCUCUACCUCUUCCAGCUUCCGGCGGCUGUCAGCAUGCUUUGUCGCUGCAUUGCUCCUGUCCCUGCCUCUGUCUUGCCCUGGUCCUCCGAUCUCUGUUUUCUCCUCAUCUGUCUAAGGGCAUCUAUCAUUGGAUUUAGGGCCUACCAAGGUCAUCCAGGAUAAUCUCAUCUCCAGAUCCUUAACCUAAUUCCAUCUGUAAAACCUCUUUUUGCCAAAUAAGGUCCCACGUACAGGUUCCAGGCAAUGGGACAUGGACAUAGCUUUUGGGAGGCUACCAUCCAACCCAUUACAGGAGGGCCGUUGUGGAAACUCUAGGCUGGAUCUCCAGGAAUGACGCCCAGAAUCCUGCAAUCCUGACUUGCUGGGGAGCCACCUUCUUUGCCACAUGUGGGAAGGCCAGGAGCCACCAAUAGAGCAGCUGUGUCUAAAAACUCAUGGCUGGAGCUGUGAGCUUGAAAUCAGGAUGCUGCCUCGGCUGCGGCAGCAACUGUCUCUGGACAUGGACAAAAUGUGAGUGGACACUGGAAUGCUGCCACAGAAAAUUCCACGUCUUCUCGAGCCCAUCGGUGGCCUGGCAAAGUUGACUACACAGAGUAGAUGGCUGUGGUGGGUUCCUCUGCAUUGUCCGUCUAGCAUCCACUCAUUUAAUUUCCAGGAAAACCUUCGGGUUUUCACCUGGGGAGAUGCUCUGUGUCAGCUCCCCGUGGCUCUGUAACGAACUCUCCCCAAACUCCAUGACUUCAAACAAGGACCGUUAUUUCUCACGGUUCUGGGUGCUGACUAGGCUCCGCCGGGCGGUUCUUCUGCUCCUUGUAGUGUCUGGAGGCCCAGCCGUCUGGACUGUCCAAGACGGCUCACCCACGCAGUUGGCAGUAGUGCUGGGUGCUGGCUGGGAGACCGGCGGAGCGUAUUGGCCAAGAUUCUCCCCCGCAUGAGCUUCUCCACAUGGCAGCCACACUCUUCUUUUCUCCUGCCUGAUUCUCGGAUCUGUGGCUGGGCACCUAAAAGGCCGAUGACACAGCCCUGUUCUCCAUAAGCUCACAGCUCGCUCGGAUGUGUGGCCCCGAGAAGAUGGGGCCAGGAGACCCUCUGCCCCUAGGCUGGGCAGCGAUCUCCGUCUGUGAUGGAUGGAUUGCAAAAUUAGCCCCAUAUUGUUCCCCGCCCUUUGGCAAUGCUCUCCCACGCUGACCUUGAACGUGGACAUUGACUUUACAUGGUGUCACAUCUACCAUGUUUGGGGGCCAAAACAAGGCAUAAGGCUGGCCUCGGUUCAAGGGGAGGGGAAAAACUCUGCCUCUCAGCGGGAGGAGUGGCAAAGAAGUUGUGGGCAACUUUCACCCACCACUCACCCCAACUACUCUCAAGCCAUGGGGUGCUGGUGGAGCUGACACCCCUGCCCAGAGUGGCAUGUGACGCAUGCCGGGCCUGUCAGAACCUUUUUUUCCCCCCCAGCAUCAGUGAUUGGAUCAGAGAUGGUCACCUGAUGCCAGUCAGGUCAAAAUAGCCAUCGGACUCACUUUUGGGGACUUUUUUUUAGAGUCCUUAGGAAAAUAGCCUCUUUGCUUUCCAUGCCAAACCAGAAGCCGAGUAAAUAUAAGGAGAUGCUGCCACCAUCUUGCCUAAGAAUGAAGCCAGGGCCAGGAGGAGAGAGAGGGGGCAACUGAGUCCGGACGACACGAGUUAAUGCCUGAAUACAUCUCAUCCGACUUGGACAGCUGGUGGGCAUCCCUGAGCUGAUCCUGCUACCCGGGAAGUGUGCCAGGGAAAACGGUUAGGGCUCUACCUGUCCUUCCUCACUACCCACUGCCAGGUGGUAUGUUGGAGCGAACGCAAACCUCAGGUGGAAUCUGACCAGCUGGAUGAUCAUUUAUUAGGAAGCAGGGACAAGGACAGUACCCUGUUCCCGCAGGCUUGCUAAGGGCCCGUUCUGUCUGCGGGCACUCUGACAGGUCCUCUGCAUGCAGGCUUCAUUCUGACGGAGAUGCAGGGCCACUCUCUCGGCGGGGUCAGCCAAGCUUCUGGAGGGAUCAGACACCACGGACCCCUGAAGAUGGGGAAAUGGUCGGAGGCCAAACGGAACUCCAGGUUAGAGUGUUGAGCGGAGGGCGCCAAGAGCUUGUGAUCUUUUUCUUUUUAAAUUGAAGUAUAAUUGAUGUACAACAUUGUAUUAGCUUCAAGUGUACGGCAAAGUGAUCCAGAUACAUAUAUUCUUUUGCAGAUUCUUUUCCAUGAUGGUUUAUUACAAGAUAUUGAAUGUAGUUCCCUGUGUUAUACAGCAGGUCCUUGUUCUCAAACCACAUACCUUAGUAUUUCUAAGAUACCUAUGCUAAUCAAGAUGUAGAUUUGUUUUUAGUUUUUUCAUUUUACAGCCACACCUGUGGCAUAUGGAAGUUCCUAGGCUAAGGGUCAAAUCGGAGCUGCAGCUGAGGCCUACACCACAGCCACAGCAACACCAGAUCCGAGCUGCAGCUGGGACCCACGCCACAGCGUGUGGCAACACCGUAUCCUUAAUCCAUUGAGCAAGGCCAUGGGUGGAACCUGCAUCCUCACAGAGAAAAUGCUGGGUCCUUAACUCGCUGUGCCACAACGAGAACUCCCAGGUGUAGAUUUAGAUCUGGGUAUUUGAGGUUCUUCAGUAGCCACUUCCAGAGUGUGGGUUCCUGAUUAGCUUCUUCCAAAUGCUAAUUUACUGCCCCUAUGGUAGGUGCACGCGCGCGUGCGCGCACACACACACACCCAUCACUCUGUAUACGUAUUUAACAGUAGCUUGUCACACAGAUAACACCAUUCUGGUAGUAUGACGUGCCAUAUGCGACCUUUUCAUAAGAAGCUCUCCCUUUCCUUGAUUUCACCAAGAGGGAAGGCAAGUGAUAAACAAUGAAAUCUUUGAGCCAAUCAGGGGAGACAGAUGACAAACAAUAAAAUCUUUGAGCCAAUCAGGGGGAAACUCUGUGAUGGGAGGGGCAUGGGGGAAUCUCAUUCUGGGUUCCUCGGAAAACCAUGAAAACGUCCCAAGGUAUCUAGGAAUCCUCUGAAUCAUGAGGAAAAUGAUUUGUCAAUGCAUAUUGUGGAGGUGGGGAGAGGGUGGCAGCUUCUAUCAGAUUCUAAAGAGGAUCCUGACACCCCCAGAGGGUGAAGAGUCUUUGAACUCGGCACAGUUUGGCAGAGCAGGUGUAAAGAAACAGCUUGCUUGGAGAUGAUGGCCUGGGCAAGUGUGAGCAAUUUCCUGGUAGCUUCACAUCUGCUGGUCCAGGACUUGUGUUCUGCAAAGGAGUGUGGUGCAAGAGAUCUCCAGAAUUUUUUUCGUCUUGCAAAACUGAAACCGGACUCAUUGAACGAGAACUCCUCUUCCCCUCCUCCCCCAGCCCCUGGCAGUCAGCCUUCUGCUUUCUGUCUCUAGGAAGUUGAUGAUUCUAGGGAUCUUGCAUAAGAGUAAUCAUGCAAUAUUUACUUUUUUGUGACUGACUUCUUUUACUUAGCAUAAUGUCCUCAGGGUUCAGCCGUGUUGUGGCACGUGUCAGAAUUUCUUCCUAAGGCUGAAUGAUAUUCCUGUGUAUGGACAGACCACAUUUUGUUUAUCCUUUUAUCCGUUGAUGGGCACUUGGGUUGCAUCCACCUCUUGGCCACCGUGAAUAAUGCUGCUAUGAACACGGGUGUGAAAAAAAAAUCUCUCUGCUCUGCUUUCAAUUCUCUUGCAUCAAUACCCAGAAGUGGAAUUGCUGGAUCCUAUGGUAGUUCUAUUUUUAAUUUUUUUUUUUUUGUCUUUUUAGGGCUGCAUCCACAGCAUUGGAGGUUCCCAGGCUAGGAGUCCAAUCGGAGCUGUAGCCACAGGCCUACACCACAGCCACAGCAACACAGGAUCCGAGUCGCAUCUGCGUCCUAUACCACAGCUCACGGCAAUGGCAGGUCCUUAACCCACUGAGCGAGGCCAGGGAUUGAACCCACAACCUCAUGGUUCCUAGUCGGAUUCGUUAACCACUGCGCCAAGACAGGAACUCCAUCUUUAGGCCAUUUUCUACUCUGCUAUGAAAUGGGCAGUCAUAGUCCUCAGCUCACAAGGCUGUCAUAAGGAUUAACCAAGAUCACAUAUAGGUCACUAAGGAUGGAGACCGAGGGUAGAUGGUGCUUUUGUGCAGGAAAACACAUCCCCAUUUUCAUGAAGAAGGAUCAGAGCAGGGCAGCAUCCAGAACAGAGAGGUUAGAACAAAGGGGGAUAAUUUGCUCUGGGUACAGAGGAAUGAGAACCUUGCUUUUUCCACAGGCAGGCUCUGGCCCCCACCCCAGCCCGGCCCCAAGGCUGGGGCAAGAGACUUGGAGUGAGGAAGGUGCCAAGAGGGAGAGGGAGGAAGCUACAAAACAGUGGCCCUCGGAGGCUCAGGUGAGAAGAAGUCAGAAAUGGGUCCCUGUGAGAGCUCCUUCUCAGUUCGCUCUGGACCUUUGGGUCUCAUGGAUGUGAGCCUCCUUGGUGUUCAAAGCCAGAUGUUUUGGGGGCUCAUCUCUCAGGGACGGGUCUUAAAUAUUGGGGUGCCCAAUGUGGGGUUCAAA
rnacentral:lncRNA from 1 species